rnacentral:rRNA from 1 species
UGGUUUGAUUCUGGCUCAGGAUGAACGCUGGCGGCAUGCCUAAUACAUGCAAGUCGAACGGAGUGAAGCCUUCGGGUUUCAUUCAGUGGCGAACGGGUGAGUAAUACGCAGGGAACCUGGCCAUGGCAGGGGGAUACACUCUGGAAACGGAGCAUAAGACCCCAUAGGCAGUAAGGCGGCAUCGCCUUACUGUUAAAGAAAGCUGAAAGGCUUUGGCGAUGGAUGGACCUGCGGUGCAUUAGCUUGUUGGUGAGGCAACGGCUUACCAAGGCGAUGAUGCAUAGCCGGCCUGAGAGGGCGGACGGCCACACUGGGACUGAGACACGGCCCAGACUCCUGCGGGAGGCAGCAGUAGGGAAUUUUCGUCAAUGGGCGCAAGCCUGAACGAGCAAUGCCGCGUGAGUGAGGAAGGUCUUCGGACUGUAAAGCUCUGUUGCCGGGGAAAAAGGGGAAAUGCAGGAAAUGGCAUUUCAUGGAUGGUACCCGGCCAGAAAGCCACGGCUAACUACGUGCCAGCAGCCGCGGUAAUACGUAGGUGGCGAGCGUUAUCCGGAGUGAUUGGGCGUAAAGGGUGCGCAGGCGGUCUGUUAAGUCUGAAGGCAAAGGGAUGAGCUCAACUCAUUUAUGAUUCAGAAACUGGCAGACUUGAGGACAGGAGAGGGCGGUGGAACUCCAUGUGUAGCGGUAAAAUGCGCAGAGAUAUGGAAGAACACCAGUGGCGAAGGCGGCCGCCUGGCCUGUGACUGACGCUGAGGCACGAAAGCGUGGGGAGCAAAUAGGAUUAGAUACCCUAGUAGUCCACGCCGUAAACGAUGAGGAGCAGGUGUUGGGAGUGAAAUCUCAGUGCCGAAGCCAACGCAGUGACUCCUCCGCCUGGGGAGUAUGCACGCAAGUGUGAAACUCAAAGGAAUUGACGGGGGCCCGCACAAGCGGUGGAGUAUGUGGUUUAAUUCGAAGCAACGCGAAGAACCUUACCAGGUUUUGACAUCGGAUGCGAAGGCGCAGAGAUGCGCUGGAGGCUAUCAUCCAGACAGGUGGUGCAUGGUUGUCGUCAGCUCGUGUCGUGAGAUGUUCAGUUAAGUCUGGCAACGAGCGCAACCCCUGUGGUAUGUUACUAACGCAUUUGGGCGAGGACUCAUAUCAGACUGCCGGUGACAAACCGGAGGAAGGCGGGGAUGACGUCAAAUCAUCAUGCCCCUUAUGACCUGGGCUACACACGUACUACAAUGGCGUCUACAGAGGGAAGCGACCCUGAGAAGGGAAGCGAAACCGGAAAAGGGCGUCCCAGUUCGGAUUGAUGUCUGCAACCCGACUUCAUGAAGAUGGAAUCGCUAGUAAUCGCGGAUCAGCAUGCCGCGGUGAAUACGUUCCCGGGCCUUGUACACACCGCCCGUCAAACCAUGGAAGCCGGCAACGCCCGAAGCCGGUGGCAUAACCUUUUAGGAGUGAGCCGUCGAAGGCGGGGCCGAUGACUGGGGUUAAGUCGUAACAAGGUAUCC